rnacentral:lncRNA from 1 species
CUCUUUUCAACACACCCAACAAAGUUUAAAGUGCAGAGGUAAGUGUUCCAACCAAUUCUCUUCUUCUUCCUUGGGAUACAACCCUCCAUUUAACUAUGUUUAUGUUUCCAAAUUCCAGUAAUCAAGCAGAUUCAGAUCCAAAUUCAUUGUUAAAUUGUUGAUUCGCAGAUCAAACUUUGUGAGUUCAGAAAAUUAAUUAUCAAGGUUACUUCCUACUUCCUCCAUACAUUCAUUUGUUAAAUUUCAAAACCAUGAUUCAAAUGAAAACAGCAGCGAACACACGCAUCCAUUACCAUUUCUUUUAGACUAUUAUUGUUUCAAUUACAUCAGCUUAUCACCAUCAGAGAACCACCAACAGAAUAAUACACACGCACACAUUUUACUAUAUUCUCUAAUCUAUUACAUGUACAAUCAGUUUUAAUAAAAAGGAAAUGAAUGAUUGAAAGAACAGAUUAAUAAAACCCUAAUUUUGCUUUUGUGCAUCUGGACUGAAAAAUUUGGGGGUUCUUGUGUCUUUGCCUUCUGUGUAUGUCCGAAAAUGGGGAAAGAGGUGAGAGCAGCCGGGGGCUGCUCACGGUCGGCGACGGCGGCGGCGGCACAGCCGCUAGCCCUUGUCCUGCCAAAACGAGAGAGAAGAGGGUAGAGAGAGAGAUGGUUAGGGCUUCUGUAAAAAUAAAAAAAAGAGAGAGAGAUACGGGAAAAAGGGGGAGAGACUUAUCUUUUCCGGCGACGCGGCGGAAGCAGCGGCGCAGCGACACGAACGGCGGUUCUGUUCGGCCGGAAAAGAGGAGAAAAGGGAGGAGUUCAGAUCUGUUUUUUUUUAAAAAUAGAAAGGAGAGGAAAAGGGAGCUCAGAUCUGGAGCCUACCUUCACGGCGAGGCAAGGCUCGGCCAUCCACCACGAUUCCGGCCAUGGCGAAGAACAGGGGAAGCGGCGCGGCGACGCUCGGCUUUUCACAACGGCCGGAGAAGGCACAUGCAGCGGCGGAAUGGUCUCUGCCGACCUACCUUAAGGCCGAGGACGGCCGAGAAACGAUGGCAACCGGCGAGAGCCGUGUUCUGCCAUGGUGGAGGCGGAGGCGGAGGCGACUGUACCAGCGAGAGAGUGGGAAGAGGAGACCGAGGGAGUGAAAAGAGAGGGGACGAGGCGACGGCGAGGAGGCGCGCCGGAGGCGGCGCCGCCCUCAGCUGAGUGAGAGUGAGAGAGGCGAGAGGGAGCCGAGAGGGAGAGUGAAGAGAGAGGCUUGUGUGUGUGGGGUGGUAUAUGUAUGUAUGAUUAGGGUUAGGCUUGGGCUCAAAGCCCUUCUUGCUAGCUUGGGCCGAAAAUUUUAAAUAAGGGAAUGGGCCGAUUUUUAUUUAAUAAAAUGUACUUGGCCCAUUUUUAUUUUAAAUUAUGUUGGGUAUUUAUUUAAAUUGAUUGAGGCCCAUUUUAAUUAAGUUUUGAACUGUUAAUUGAUUAAUAAAGCCUACGAAUUUUUGGCCUUAUUUUUUAAAAAAAAAAAAUGUUUGAAUUUACACUAAAUUAUUUAGUGAAUUUAAAUCUCUUGAUUUAAAUUUUAAUAUUUAAAGUUGGGAUUAUUUAUUCUAAAUGAAGUCCAUUCUAUUAUUUAAAUUAUUAAUGGACUUUAAAGCAAAUAUUUUGGGAUUAAGCCCCAUUUAUUAUAUGAUAAAAUUAUUUUCAAAGCUUACGAGUAUGGAUUUUUUUUUUUAAAUGGUUAAAAUGUUUUAUUUCAUCUCAAUGGAUUUUAAAAUGUUUUAUUAUUUAUAAAUGAAUAAUGGAAUUCUUAUUUAUUUACAUGAUAAAAAAAUGUGGAACUGUGUUAUAGAAUGAUUAAGGUAUAUGAUUACUUUAUCAAAUGAGCUUGGGAUUAAUUGAGAUAUUAAAUUGCUAAGCAUGUGUUUAUAAAUGAUUUAUUUAUUUAAGUGAUGAAAAUGUGCGAAGUAUGAGAAAGCAUGAUUUAUAAUGAUUAAAUUUUCAGGGUGAUAAUAUAUAGCUUGUUCUUAAUUAAUGGAGUACUUGACUAAAUGACGGGUGUAGAGGGAGGUUAUGGAUUAUGUACAUGUUGAUGUUCGAACAAAUGGGUUCGAACCUAUAUGAUAGUUACAUGAUAAUGGUUACAUUUAUUGAUUGAAUGAAACGAGAUUAAUAUGGAUGCUAGAACCCUAAAACAUUAAAAGAUACCUUAGGCACGUAGAAUUAGACUUUGUCUUAUGACAAUUUCUUCACGAACUUAUCGACUCUUCAUCAAUGAAGGUCCGGGCGACAAAAAGUGAAGCAGAAGAAGAAACGACUCCACGCCAGCUUUAAGAACAAUUGAGGUGGGCUAUUAUUUUAUUAUUACGUAUAUAGAGAUCCCCUGCGUGACGUAGGCCUCAUAUGCGAAUAUAUAUGCAUGAUAUGUUUUGUACUAUUUAUUCUAGUUCUUAUGAAAUGCUUAUAUGUUUAAUGCCUUUAUGAAAAUGAAAUGUUAUGAAAUGAAAUGUUUAUGAAAUGAUUGACUGCCAAAAUGUUUAUGUUUUUAUAUGUAUCCUAUCUGUGUUGGUUCGCCAACUUUAAAGGAAAUCCAAUUGGGAUCCUAUGCUAGACAAAGGUCGCUAGCUAGGGUUAACGUGUACACUCAUGGAGACCGCGAGUCGCUUGCGACCGGUCUUGGCGUCCGUGGUAAGGAGGCCUCCUUCCCGGCGCGUGACAGAAAGGACAGAUAUGGAUCAUAUAGACUGAAAAUGGGAUGCAUCCACCUUUAUGAAAAUGAACGAAAUAUUUUAGUAAGCGCAGGUCAUUUAUGAAAACCCCUGUGUGUUACUGUUAUGGCAGUUCAAUUUAUAUAUGUAUGCAUGUUGUAUUUUCGGCUUAUGUCACUGAGUAUUUUUAUACUCAGCCCUGCAUGUAUUUCUAAAUGUGCAGGUUGAGCAGGCGAUGGAAUGGAUCGGUGUUGAGCGGAUUUCCCUUUUGAUGUUUAUGUAAUGAAACCUUGAGUAUGCAUCUCCCUAUGCAUAACUCACACGUUUUUCCGCUGCAAACACUCUGAAUUUGUUAUCGUAUUGUGGAACUUAUUACUCCUUCAUUUUGUUUAACUUUCAUUUGGGGUUUAGUCGUUAUGGCUGGC